AUGGAAAAGUCCGUGCCUGGCUCCCUGCCCAUCCCUGCAGAUCAGAGGCUCCGAGCGUUCCACUGCUCCACUGAUGUGGAGGAUGGGCUGACAUGUGGUUGGAGUUUGGCAAUCAGUGCAUGGAUCUGCUGGAAAGGACCUGGCAGUGAUGCUCUCCCUUCUUUCCAUCUCAUAUGUCCACCGUGUUCUGGGAAGAGAUCCAGGGAGGACAAUUUGCCUCAGCUAUUUGCAAGCCUGGAACGAGCCUGCUCGGUGUCACAAGGGGUUUCCAGGACACGUUCAAGACCAGGAAGCACCGACUGUCACUGGUUUACAAGGAGCACGAUGCUGUCCCCAGCACCUGCAUCCCAUCCAGGAUCCCGUGACCUGUGCCCACAAAGGACAAACACCAAGGACCAGGCAUCCAGGGGGCUCUGUGCUUGGCUGCAGGGCCAGGACAGCAUCCGGGAGCUGCAGGGCUCCUCUCCUUUGCCAGCAGGAUGCGGCCCUGGUUAGUUAUGUGCCGAUUGAGUGAGGAAAUGGGAUGCUGGGGACAGCUCCCUGCAAGGCUCAGCCUGCGUCUCUCCGGCCCCAUCAUUUGUGCUGGGAAGUUUUAUCUUUUUAAUUUGUUACAUAUCACACAUCCUCUGAUUAAUUAUUGCUUCUCUGCAGGGAGGACUAGAGUUUAUAGAGCAAUAUAGCAUUAGUGUUAGCUUUAUACACCCUCAAAGCCCAGAGGAAGCUCGGCAGAGUACUUAUGCGAUGUUCUGUCGAUAAUAAUGACUCAGCAUUUGGCCGGAUCGGGGUAUAUCAGAAGUGCUUUAUUAAAAAGUACACAGUAUAUGCAUCGAACGUAAAUACAGCCAGGAGAUGCGAGCGUGAUGUGCUGCAUACAUAGCAGUCAGUGCCUGCGCUGGGGCCUGCCUGCCUGCUCCAUGGAUCCCAGGCAAUGCAGCAGUUUAAUUGCCACGGUGGCCUGGGAUGCAUUGAGCUGCUUGGCAUGUCCUUCAGCCCCACGAAUGCAGGAACAGCCACAAUCCAAUUCUCUUUACAGCCGCAUGUCUCUGCCGGCUAUGCGGGAGCCCUCUCCCUGAAGGAGCCUUCCCAUCCAGCAAAUGCUCUCCAGGAGGCUGUAGAAGUGAUUGGGAAGGCAUUGCAGCAGGAUAACGGCGAGGAAAUGCAGCUGAACAUUUCCAGCGCUGAGUAAACCAUAUGUCUUCAUAAUUUGAUUGUGCCCUGGUCCCCCAGGUACCUCCCAGCUCUAUUGAACACCGAUGGAGUUAUUUAGAAUCAUAAAUAAUAUUAUCAAAGGGUCUGCUGGGUAAAGAGAGCCAGUGUAUGAAUUGUCGGCGCGAGAUAUUGAUUGUUGGGAGCUGGCUAAUGAAUUAUUCUGUUUGAGGGCCGUGGAAAUGCUGCUCAGUGUUUGCAAGGCAAAGCCCCUGCAAGAACUCCCCCCUGCCCUCCGGGGCUUUGUUGUCCUGGCUGCAGCAGGCAGCGAGCACCGAUCCUGGACCCUGGGCCCCUUGGUGGUGAGCAGGCAGGGGGGGACCAUCUCCUCCUCCUCCUUUCUCACCUUCCCCCUUCCUUCCACCUAUCUGUAUGCAUUGAGGGGACCCACUGCGGGAUUUGGGUGCACCAGACCCUGUGCCAGCCCCCCGAGGCUUCCCAUUGCUCCCAGUGCCAACACCUUUCCCUGCCUGCAGGGAACCUGUCUCCCACAUCCCGAUACCUGUUGGCUUUUUGGCUUUGCCGCUGUUUAAAUGGGGCUUUUCCCCCCAGAGGUGUAUCAGCUGCCUCAAGCCCUGCCCCACAGAGAGGAGAAAUGGGCUGUCUUUUUGAGCAGAAUUGGCUUUUUUUCCCCCUCACCUGCAUAAUAUGUUCUGUUAAAUUUACAGUUUUUCUAUCCCUUUGAUGUAAGGGACUGAAAACUCUUCCUCACUAAUCUCAUGCAGCAGCGCCUGAAACGCUGAAGGCGCUGGCUGGGGAUAUGGCAGGGAACCAGACAACAAUUAUUGGUGUUCUGGGGCUGGGGCUCCAUUGAAAGACAGCUAAUUUUGAAAUAAAUUAUGCUAUUAAACCCG
rnacentral:lncRNA from 14 species